rnacentral:rRNA from 1 species
CCUACGGGUGGCAGCAGUGGGGAAUAUUGGACAAUGGGGGCAACCCUGAUCCAGCCAUGCCGCGUGUGUGAAGAAGGCCCUCGGGUUGUAAAGCACUUUCAGUGAGGAAGAACGCCUGGUGGUUAAUACCCAUCAGGAAAGACAUCACUCACAGAAGAAGCACCGGCUAACUCCGUGCCAGCAGCCGCAGUAAUACGGAGGGUGCGAGCGUUAAUCGGAAUUACUGGGCGUAAAGCGCGCGUAGGUGGCUUGAUAAGCCGGUUGUGAAAGCCCCGGGCUCAACCUGGGAACGGCAUCCGGAACUGUCAAGCUAGAGUGCAGGAGAGGAAGGUAGAAUUCCCGGUGUAGCGGUGAAAUGCGUAGAGAUCGGGAGGAAUACCAGUGGCGAAGGCGGCCUUCUGGACUGACACUGACACUGAGGUGCGAAAGCGUGGGUAGCAAACAGGAUUAGAUACCCUAGUAGUC